rnacentral:rRNA from 1 species
GAUGAACGCUGGCGGCGUGCCUAAUACAUGCAAGUCGAGCGAACGGACGAGAAGCUUGCUUCUCUGAUGUUAGCGGCGGACGGGUGAGUAACACGUGGAUAACCUACCUAUAAGACUGGGAUAACUUCGGGAAACCGGAGCUAAUACCGGAUAAUAUUUUGAACCGCAUGGUUCAAAAGUGAAAGAUGGUCUUGCUGUCACUUAUAGAUGGAUCCGCGCUGCAUUAGCUAGUUGGUAAGGUAACGGCUUACCAAGGCAACGAUGCAUAGCCGACCUGAGAGGGUGAUCGGCCACACUGGAACUGAGACACGGUCCAGACUCCUACGGGAGGCAGCAGUAGGGAAUCUUCCGCAAUGGGCGAAAGCCUGACGGAGCAACGCCGCGUGAGUGAUGAAGGUCUUCGGAUCGUAAAACUCUGUUAUUAGGGAAGAACAUAUGUGUAAGUAACUGUGCACAUCUUGACGGUACCUAAUCAGAAAGCCACGGCUAACUACGUGC